GAGUUUGAUCCUGGCUCAGGAUAAACGCUGGCGGCGCACAUAAGACAUGCAAGUCGAACGAACUUAACCUCUUGCUUGCAAGAGGAGCGGUUAGUGGCGGACUGGUGAGUAACACGUAAGAAAUCUGCCUAUCAGAGGGGAAUAACAGUGAGAAAUCAUUGCUAAUACCGCAUAUGCCAUAGUUAUCGCAUGAUAAUAGUGGGAAAGGAGCAAUCCGCUGAUAGAUGAGCUUGCGUCUGAUUAGCUAGUUGGUGGGGUAACGGCCUACCAAGGCGACGAUCAGUAGCCGGACUGAGAGGUUGAACGGCCACAUUGGGACUGAGAUACGGCCCAGACUCCUACGGGAGGCAGCAGUCGGGAAUAUUGCGCAAUGGAGGAAACUCUGACGCAGUGACGCCGCGUAUAGGAAGAAGGUUUUCGGAUUGUAAACUAUUGUCCACAGGGAAGAAAAAAGACUGUACCUGUGAAGAAAGCUCCGGCUAACUACGUGCCAGCAGCCGCGGUAAUACGUAGGGAGCAAGCGUUAUCCGGAUUUAUUGGGUGUAAAGGGUGCGUAGACGGGAUAACAAGUUAGUUGUGAAACCCCUCGGCUUAACUGAGGAACUGCAACUAAAACUAUUAUUCUUGAGUGCAGGAGAGGAAAGUGGAAUUCCUAGUGUAGCGGUGAAAUGC
rnacentral:rRNA from 1 species